AAAUUACAAAAGUUUUCUUCCAGUGACCUUAACCUCAUCCAGAUGACCUUUAAUUAUGUUUUCCAAUUCUCAUUCUAGGCUUUAUCAAUGCUGUUUUAACUACCAGUAAAUGGAUAUCCAAUCCUCAGCCAGGAAGGAUAACUCUUAAAGGAUGACUGCACUUAACGCCUGUUUUUGGGUCUUUUUCGGUUGCCUCUGUUGCUUUUAUAUCUAAACCUUAUUUCACAUUUGUAUGUUUAUGAAAGAAUCCUGUCAAUUUGGAAGUUGGAACCAAGUUUAAAUCUUAAAAUGAUUUUAGACUGUGAUACAAUAAAAUGAUUCAUGACAA